ACACGCACAUAAACCCUUCUGUCUCUCUCUCUCUCGCUCUCUCUCUCUGUCUCUUCUGAGGGGAACACACACUGAAAAACAGACAUGUCAUACAAAAACAGAACGGCCUUAUCUUCAUCUGUGUUUUGCUGUUUUGAUGAAUGUUCGGAUGUUUUUCCUACAGCACCCAGUGAGGUUGAGAACAAAAUAUGAUGCUGAUUACAUUUCAAGCAUGGCAACAAGCUACAUCAGACAGAGGCCAUGUUUUCCCUAAAGUGUGCACCUAUCCUCUUCUCCCACCCACACCUCCCCUCCCGCAGCUGUAUCCAAAAGAGAGGAGGAGGUGGAAAGGGGGAUGAGGUAAGUGGAGUGGGGUGAAUGGGGGUGAGAAGUGGGGAGCAGGAGAAACCACCAUCCCCCGUGGAGAGCACUGCUCCAUUCCCACACCACAGGACUGGGGGGCACAGAAUAAAGAAGUGAAGUCUGGUUUUUCCAGGCCACCAAACUAAUGAGAACAAAUAAUAUCCCCCCUGCCACCGCCACUCGUCCACCUGUUUACAGCCUAAGGUGCGUCAGGAGUGACGGGGGAAAGAGGGAGAUGUCAAACACACAGUCCUGAGAAGAGGUCCAAUCAGGAAAAACUGGGCCGUCAAGUCCUACAUAAGUCCAUCAUUUGCCACGAGUGACAUGAGAUAUGAGGGUCACUGGAGGAAGCUGAAGUGGACUUGGCCCUAGUUGCCCUGUUUGGCCCUAGAAUGGAAAUAAAGCCCCGUAGUGGCACCGAGACUGAAGAUGAAGCCCCCAGCUGGCCCUGUGUUUGGCCCUGUGCUAGAGAGCGGGCCAUUGUAGUUCAAGUUGUGCAGACAAGAUGGUCUGAGUGACCGUUAGACGAGACUGGGACACCAGAGACCAUGAAGACUCCCUCAGGGAUAAAACAGAGAAGAGAGAGAGAAGUAGACUAGAACAAGGUAGUGGUGGGAGACAGAGUGCUGCAGGGAACAAAGGAGUUCAUAGCUGUCAUUGGUUUUCUCUUUUUUUGUAGUUCUAUCCAUUCUUUUGUCUGAGGGGGAACUGUAAGAGCCAGGAGGCCCUGAGCAGCAGCUGGCAGGUAGGAAGAGAGGGAAGGAGGGAGUGAGGAAGGAGAUAAGUGAGAGAGGUUGGAUAAAGAGGGAGGGAGGAAUGGAAAGAUAGGUGGAGGGGACAGAGGCCAGGAAGUUUGGCCACAUACUCAAAUCAAAUGUUUAGCUACAUCUGUAUUACUAAACAUGUCAUGGUAAUCAGGUGAUAAUUAGCAAGUAACCUAUU